rnacentral:tRNA from 1 species
UGAUUUGCUAGCUCAGCAGGUAGAGCACAUCCCUUUUAAGGAUGGGGUCCUGGGUUCGAGCCCCAGGCAGAUCACCCA